GGAUAGCUCAGUCGGUAGAGCACGAGACUCUUAAUCUCAGGGUUGUGGGUUCAAGCCCCAAGUUGGGCG